UUUACGUGCAAGCUAAAAAACCCCAAGUUGAAACCCUAACAAAAAAGAAGUGAAAGCCAAAAGAAGAAUUAAGAGAAUCAUGGACAGAGAAUGAGACUCCAAACUCAGUUCUGGAGGUUUUGCCUCUGCCCAAACGAAAGCCAUGGACCGUCGUGGGCGUCUCCAUCAACUUGAAGGCAUUUUAUUUUUUGAGUGGCCUCUAUUGCCUGAACUGUUGACUUUGUAAUGCUGGGUUGCUGGCAGCUACAAGAUGAAGUCAUCCUUUCAGAUGCUGAGAGAUUGCCAAUGACUCAGAACAAUGUAAAAAUGCUCCAAAGGCAUUUUCAAGGUGAAACUCUUCCAUGGAUCCAGAGAAUGAGACAAAAGGAGUAAAGCCUCCAAAGGUGCCUUUUAAAGGUUGGACAAAUUUUGAUUAUUUUUUAAUACCAAGUAGAAAUGAUUGGCAUGAACCUAGGCAUUUAUCAGAAACAGAAUUUUAUUGAGUUGAAAAUCCAUUCUUCCUGUUUCUCUUUUCCUUGAUACUUUGGCCCCAAAACUCAACAAAAUAAAUAAAGAGGAAAAGGAAAGAGACCUUAGCAGUGGUUUUCAGAAGAAAUCAAGCUCAAAUUCGUCAAAAGUGCAAAUGUUAUUGGAGUGUUAAUAUCACUCACAACUGUCAUGAAAGUUUGGUUAAACAAUAAAAGUGAUGAGGUUGACAAGCAAGAUAUCUACAUACAAGAUCUAAGAACAUCGUGCGCAUCAUCAGAGAAAGGAAGAAAAAGUGACACCGUCAAUGGUGUCAUCAAUGUUGAUGGGGUGGCAACGAAGUAUGAUGCAAAGAUGGAAUAAGAAGAAGAGAAAGACGUUUGCAGGAUCUGUCGAAACCAGGGAGAUGUAGAGAAUCCGCUUCGAUACCCCUGCACAUGUAGCGAAGCAUCAAAUUUGUCCAUCAUGAUUGCCUUCUUCAGUGGCUCAAUCACAGUAAUGCUCACCAAUGUGAGAUCCCUGAUGAAGCUGUUUCAAGGUGCAUUAGAUGUGGAACUGAUUUCGGGGUUUUGUGACAAGCACCACUGCAGGAACCAUUGGGAUAUUUUUGUGACAAGUGUAUCCAAAGUAGAACCGCUUUAACUGCUGAUAAGAAUGCUUAACCAAUUAGGGAGGGUUUCAGGCCGAUUAGAAAAAAAAGGCUCUGUUCAGUGCAGAUAUUAUAAGACUUUUGCGGCGUAUGCUGGCUGCAAUUUAGGUCUGGCAGCACCAGCUGCAGCUCUUUGUGCUUUUAUUGCUCCGGUAGUGGCAGGUUCUGGUAUUCCUGAAGUGAGCCUAUCUCAAUGGGGUGGAUGUUCAUCCAAUACUGGCUCCAAGUACUGUUUGUAAAGGUGGGGUGGCGGCGAAGUAUGAUGCGAAGAUAGAAGAAAAAGAAGAGGAAGACAUUUGCAGGAUCUGCCGAAACCAGGGAGAUGCAAAGAAUCCGCUUCGAUAAUCAUGCGCGUGUAACGGCAGCAUCAAAUUUGUCCACCAGGAUUGCCUUCUUCAGUGCCUCAAUUUCAGCAUAUUGAUGGACAAAUUUCUUAACACGUUUUUUGUUGAGAACUAAUAUAUUAUCAUUUCGAAGGUAAUUCCAACUCUGAUUCGAUUUCGAUCUCUUUGGUUGGGGAAAUUUUUUUUUAGUUAUUAAGUUAUUUUUUUUUUCUUUUCUAUUGCUGGUAUUUUUACUAGUAUUGCAGCAAGAAAAUUUGGGUUCUGAAACUGUUUCCAACUUGGUUGAUAGAUUUUUUAUUUUUUUAUUUGUUUCUUUGUUUUUUUUUAUUGCAAAUAUUGUCAAAUCAGUAAAGGAUGUAAAAUAAAACAUGACUUUAAACAAACUUUUAAUGUUU